AUUGAACGCUGGCGGCAGGCCUAACACAUGCAAGUCGAGCGGAUGAAGGGAGCUUGCUCCUGGAUUCAGCGGCGGACGGGCGAGUAAGGCCUAGGAAUCUGCCUGGUAGUGGGGGAUAACGUCCGGAAACGGGCGCUAAUACCGCAUACGCCCUGAGGGAGAAAGGGGGGGAGCUUCGGACCUCACGCUCUCAGGUGAGCCUAGGUCGGAAUAGCUAGUUGGGGGGGUAAAGGGCUACCAAGGCGACGAUACGUCACUGUUCUGUGAGGAUGAUCAGUCACACUGGAACUGAGAGACGCGCCCGACACCUACAGGGGGCGGCGGAGUGGAAUAUUUGGCAAUGGGGGAGAACCUGUGAUAGCCCCGUAGCGCGUGUGAGGAAGGUGUUCGGAUGGUGUAGAGCUCUAUGGUGGGGGAAAAGGAAGUGCGGUUAUAUAUUGCGGUGUUGACGUGACCACCAGAAUAUGCGCCGGCUAACUCCGUG
rnacentral:rRNA from 1 species